rnacentral:lncRNA from 1 species
GUUGCAUGUCAGUUUUGGCCCUCAGGAUCAUCUCAAUUACUUUAGUGGUUUUAUGUAGGUUUAGCAAACCUUUGUUUAAAAGGCAAUUCUAAUGAGGUAUAAGAAGAACCCAAGGUAUCUCCUCUUUGUAAUCCAUUUUCUCUCAUUUCCAGAAAGAUAAAAAGAUGUGAGAAGAUAUAUCUUUAGCUCAUAACAGGCUCACAGACUGCCUGUGUCCAGGAGUGGGAGGGCUUUGAGAAACAUUACACUAAAUCUGACAGAGGAGAGGAUAUGGGGGAAUGCGGCAGCUUGGAAGAGGGGAAAGAGAAGUGCCAGAAUUGUGCAGAUAAUUCUUGUUCACUUUGUUAUGAGCCUGAAAGGAAUGGUUGGCGAAGCAGUCUGAAGUCUACAGCAUCUCCCAGGCUGAUACUGGACUCAUUACAGUUCAUGAAAUGCUCACAGAUUAUGAAUACAGAGACAGUUGUUGAAGAUGAUCAAAAGCACAGAACAGUUUCUAGAUAAAGGGAGUGUGAAGAGAGAAACCACAGAUAUCACAGUAACGCAGUUCCUACAGCUCUGCUCUGUAUUUUACCAGCUGUAUUGCCAGCAUCUAACUUCAGAACAUUUAAGAAGUGUGUGAAACCUGAAAUUGUAUUUUUCUGCUGUCAUCUCACACUCAAUAAGGGCUCUUUAAUCUGUGGGUGUGAUGGUUCUCUCUCUGUUUUAUCUUUUCUUUUGGUUAUUCUCCCACAAUAUGCAUGACAUACUAAUCAAUUUAAUCUCAUUUCAUAAUCUUGCAUCUACAUUUCUAAAUUUAAUACAUCCUCCCAAAUCAUUAGCUUGUUCUUGUGGGUGUUUUCGGCAUUGGCUUCUUCUCAUGCAUGAUUUUCUUUCUUUUUGUGUAUAUUCACCUGAUGGUAAGUUGAUGAGAUCCUAAAACAUUCAUGUUCUUGGCUGAAAGCAUUUUGCA